AGAUUAUGAAUAUGGGACGCCGAACUAUUUGGCCCAUUUAGCCUAUCACAUAAGCCUGAAAUGGAAGACCGAAACAGUUCUGACUUGCAAAUCGAUUGUCACAAUUGAAUAUAGGGGCGAAAGACCAAUCGAACCAUCUAGUAG
rnacentral:ncRNA from 1 species